GACGUAGGUGGCGAACGUUAUCCGGAAUUAUUGGGCGUAAAGGAUGCGUAGAUGGUGCAGUAAGUUAUCGGUGGCAAAUCGAGGCUCAACCUCGUGGAAGUCGGUAAUACUGCUAUGCUAGAGGAUAGGAGAGGUUAACGGAACUCCCUGUGGAGCGGUGAAAUGCGUAGAUAUAGGGAAGAACACCAAUCAGGCGAAGGCAGUUAACUAUUCUAUUCCUGACAUUGAGGCAUGAAAGCGUGGGGAGCAAAACGG
rnacentral:rRNA from 1 species